rnacentral:rRNA from 1 species
GACGAACGCUGGCGGCGUGCUUAACACAUGCAAGUCGAGCGGAAAGGCCCUUCGGGGUACUCGAGCGGCGAACGGGUGAGUAACACGUGAGCAAUCUGCCCUUAGCUCUGGGAUAGCUCCGGGAAACCGGGAUUAAUACCAGAUAUGACCACUUUAGACAUCUUUUGUGGUGGAAAGAAUUUCGGCUAGGGAUGAGCUCGCGGCCUAUCAGCUUGUUGGUGGGGUAACGGCCUACCAAGGCGACGACGGGUAGCCGGCCUGAGAGGGCGACCGGCCA